ACCGGGAGAUAGCUGGUUCUCCCCGAAAGCUAUUUAGGUAGCGCCUCGUGAAUUCAUCUCCGGGGGUAGAGCACUGUUUCGGCAAGGGGGUCAUCCCGACUUACCAACCCGAUGCAAACUGCGAAUACCGGAGAAUGUUAUCACGGGAGACACACGGCGGGUGCUAACGUCCGUCGUGAAGAGGGAAACAACCCAGACCGCCAGCUAAGGUCCCAAAGUCAUGGUUAAGUGGGAAACGAUGUGGGAAGGCCCAGACAGCCAGGAUGUUGGCUUAGAAGCAGCCAUCAUUUAAAGAAAGCGUAAUAGCUCACUGGUCGAGUCGGCCUGCGCGGAAGAUGUAACGGGGCUAAACCAUGCACCGAAGCUGCGGCAGCGACGCUGAUGCGUUGUUGGGUAGGGGAGCGUUCUGUAAGCCUGUGAAGGUGUGCUGUGAGGCAUGCUGGAGGUAUCAGAAGUGCGAAUGCUGACAUAAGUAACGAUAAAGCGGGUGAAAAGCCCGCUCGCCGGAAGACCAAGGGUUCCUGUCCAACGUUAAUCGGGGCAGGGUGAGUCGACCCCUAAGGCGAGGCCGAAAGGCGUAGUCGAUGGGAAACAGGUUAAUAUUCCUGUACUUGGUGUUACUGCGAAGGGGGGACGGAGAAGGCUAUGUUGGCCGGGCGACGGUUGUCCCGGUUUAAGCGUGUAGGCUGGUUUUCCAGGCAAAUCCGGAAAACUAAGGCUGAGGCGUGAUGACGAGGCACUACGGUGCUGAAGCAACAAAUGCCCUGCUUCCAGGAAAAGCCUCUAAGCAUCAGGUAACAUCAAAUCGUACCCCAAACCGACACAGGUGGUCAGGUAGAGAAUACCAAGGCGCUUGAGAGAACUCGGGUGAAGGAACUAGGCAAAAUGGUGCCGUAACUUCGGGAGAAGGCACGCUGAUAUGUAGGUGAAGUCCCUCGCGGAUGGAGCUGAAAUCAGUCGAAGAUACCAGCUGGCUGCAACUGUUUAUUAAAAACACAGCACUGUGCAAACACGAAAGUGGACGUAUACGGUGUGACGCCUGCCCGGUGCCGGAAGGUUAAUUGAUGGGGUCAGCGCAAGCGAAGCUCUUGAUCGAAGCCCCGGUAAACGGCGGCCGUAACUAUAACGGUCCUAAGGUAGCGAAAUUCCUUGUCGGGUAAGUUCCGACCUGCACGAAUGGCGUAAUGAUGGCCAGGCUGUCUCCACCCGAGACUCAGUGAAAUUGAACUCGCUGUGAAGAUGCAGUGUACCCGCGGCAAGACGGAAAGACCCCGUGAACCUUUACUAUAGCUUGACACUGAACAUUGAGCCUUGAUGUGUAGGAUAGGUGGGAGGCUUUGAAGUGUGGACGCCAGUCUGCAUGGAGCCGACCUUGAAAUACCACCCUUUAAUGUUUGAUGUUCUAACGUUGACCCGUAAUCCGGGUUGCGGACAGUGUCUGGUGGGUAGUUUGACUGGGGCGGUCUCCUCCUAAAGAGUAACGGAGGAGCACGAAGGUUGGCUAAUCCUGGUCGGACAUCAGGAGGUUAGUGCAAUGGCAUAAGCCAGCUUGACUGCGAGCGUGACGGCGCGAGCAGGUGCGAAAGCAGGUCAUAGUGAUCCGGUGGUUCUGAAUGGAAGGGCCAUCGCUCAACGGAUAAAAGGUACUCCGGGGAUAACAGGCUGAUACCGCCCAAGAGUUCAUAUCGACGGCGGUGUUUGGCACCUCGAUGUCGGCUCAUCACAUCCUGGGGCUGAAGUAGGUCCCAAGGGUAUGGCUGUUCGCCAUUUAAAGUGGUACGCGAGCUGGGUUUAGAACGUCGUGAGACAGUUCGGUCCCUAUCUGCCGUGGGCGCUGGAGAACUGAGGGGGGCUGCUCCUAGUACGAGAGGACCGGAGUGGACGCAUCACUGGUGUUCGGGUUGUCAUGCCAAUGGCACUGCCCGGUAGCUAAAUGCGGAAGAGAUAAGUGCUGAAAGCAUCUAAGCACGAAACUUGCCCCGAGAUGAGUUCUCCCUGACUCCUUGAGAGUCCUGAAGGAACGUUGAAG
rnacentral:rRNA from 1 species